UGGUGACGUGUGGUGGCGACCGCUGCUGCUGCACAAGGACACUUCCUGGGCUCCAGGCUGAGAGUCUUUGUGGGGGAGGAGCUGGUGGCCGUCACUUUUGACAAGACCCACGCCAGCACGUGAGAACCACCCUCCCGUCAGCCGGCGCCGCUGAGGAGGGUGCGGUGCGGCACCUGCACCCCACACGGGACGAGUGUGCAGGGAGCUCUCUGGGGACGGGAAGUUACGGUCAGCUCUUCAUGCUUUCGGACACCCUUCCAUGCGCUACUUUCUACGCUAAAUGAACAGCCUGGCGGACUGUCAAAUAUGGGAAAAACAAAGCACCUCAGGACUCCUCAGGAAAGGCCUCUCUCCAACAGUAUGCAGCUCAGAUAAAGCCCAGAAAGUUCUGGGGACUGUUCACAUCACUGGUACCAUACAGGGAUCAUUCUGUCAAUAUCUACAAACAGGAGAGCCUCUGCAUUACAUGGCCAAAGUUGUUGCAACCGUUUUCAAAACAGAAUAAUCACACGGCUGAAGCUGAUUCAAAUGUGUGAGAUGCCCACUGAAGACGCUCUUAAACACAUGACAGACCAAGGGGCUGCCUUCCUUUCUGGGGAGAAAUAACAGAAAAUCUUAAACGUCUUCUUGAGUAAGGGAUUCUUACCACCAGCACAAACACUUGCUGGGUCAGAGCAAGUUGGGUAAGGCCAGGCGGAUGGCCUAGGGAAAACAGGAAUCAAGUAAUUCAGCUACACUCUGGGCCUGAUGGUGGUUCUGGCUGGAAAAAGGUACGAGCAACCUUAGACCAGGUCAAGGCCCAUCCACAGUUAAUUACAGACAAUAGUGCCCAAGUGCCAUCACAUGAACGAACCCUCAAGACUGAUCUCAGAGACCCAGCUUUUCAGAUGCAGCACAUGUUCCAGCAGAAAAUGAACGUGUGGAAACGGCAUCUCCAGUCCACCAAGUACCCAAACGAAAAAAGCAUGCAGAGAUCCAGGAGGCCCUCCCUUAGAUCAUGAACGUGUGCUGCUUGAGCUCACCAAAUCCAAGUCCCCCAGUCUGUGACUAAACAGGUCAAGAGUAUCUCACUUUCCUGGGGAAUCCUAAUACCCAGAACAUCUUCCCUGUUACAGGGCUAGACUAGUGGUCUUUUCUUCAACCAUUUAAAAAUGUAAACCCCAUUCUGAACUCAUGAACAGUACACAAUCUGGCAGGCCUGGUUUGCCCCACGGGCUGUGGGUUUACCAACCCCAGACUAGACUCUGUUCUGUGAAAGCAGGGUCCACAGUGCUCCAGCUGAGCCUGGUCUUGGGCCAGGGCUUUGUGCAGUAUGUGGCAUACAGUAAGUGCUCAAUAAAUGCUAGUGGGACUGAACUGCUGGUAGUCAUUAGUAACUUCAUUGCUUACCGGGAAAAAUAUCCUAUGUAGUGGAAUUCAACCAUACAAAAUCCUUCUAAAUGUGAAACGAUUAUUCACAACCAAGCUGUGUCGGCAUACUCUGGCCACUAUAAACCAUUCUGUUUACUUCUGGUGAAUAAACCGUAUUAUUGUCAGAUGUCACCUAAAUAGUGCCAUUGGCCUCCAACCACCAGACUCCCUUAAACGUUAGUGAGCUCACAGGCAUCUAGGGCACGUGCUGAAAAGUCCUUGGCCCGAGGCUGUGUUCUAAACAGGCACCAGGUAAUUGGGUGCAAGUGGCCUCUAGUGUUUCUAUAAACUAUCUGCAUUAUUUGAGGAAUCAAGAGGCUCCAAGCUCUCCUCAAUAACUGUCUGUAAUCACAGAACAGAAAAGAAUCACAACGAAUCUUAUCUGCCCAUAAACUGCCUAUCUUGUUAUGGAAAUCAGAGGCUCUGCUAUUCUCCACAACCAUUUGUUAUCACGGAAUACCAAAGAAUCAUCAUUUACAAGAAACCCCAGCAUCUGAAACUUCCACAGCAGCAGUGCCAGCCUUGGAAGCGGCCAUGGAAGUGGCUCAAAGUGCGGCCCUUUCUCCAUUCAUACCAGAGGGGGCCCCAGUAGCCCCUCAGCGACAAUCAAUUACUAGGAUGACUUUCUAAAAAUAUGCCUGUGUUCAGUCCUUUUCACCCCUGGCAGAAACAGACUGAAAUUAACUCUCUUCUGCAAGACCAGAGGGCGGAACGCCAUAGCUGCCAUCAGUGAGAACAGCAGAGAGCGCGGCUGGCCUGCUCCUGCAGGUGGGGUGCCCGCAUUCAGCUGCGCGGUCCCCGCGACUCUACCCUAAAUCCCGCAGCCAUGUGCACUGGCCCUCCCGGAGAGCUUUUUAACUUAGGUUAAACGAAUUUCAAUUUAAGUUUAAAAACCUCCCUUAAGCUGCCAUGAAUAUGCCUUCUCACCCACAGGUAACAGAACCUGGAGGGUAAUUCCAGCUAUGAACAGGUCGAGGUGGAUUUUUGGAGCACACGGACGGACACCUCUCUGCUCACAAGCCUCUCCCUCAUUGGGAAGUGGGUCCAGAGUCACUAAUGCACAGUGUUUCCAGACUAGCUCAUCCCGACCCCAGCUGUAUCUGUAUUUACCAUUUUUUACAAAGUCAGCUCCUUCCUGUCUGAUUGAGGUCUAGGAGUUUUGGCUUUAAGUUCAGAUGAUACAAUCAACUUUGUAGCCGCCAGUCUAUUAAAGCACAGUCUCACAUUAAUCCUACCUGCCACAAAGCUGACCACUAUGGUAAAAACAUAUUCCACAUAUUCACAAAGAAACCGCUAAAACAUUAGCCACAGAGAGGGGGUGCCAUGCAUGUCAGGGAUUUUAUGGUUCAAUAUUCCAUGCACUUGUGGGGGUAACUUUGAGUUCUGGGUCACCAAGGUUGGAGAACAGGGAAGGAACAUUCAGGAACAUUUUGUGGCAUGGAACAUAGGUUUUGCAUCUACCUGUUCCUUCCCCUUGUUCACAACACUGAAGAAGAAGGAGAUUCAGAACACAGAGGCAGCGUGUAUUCCUCAGUGGGAUCCACCUCUCUGUUCUCCUCUGCAAAGAAGUUUCGUUUCUCUGUUGUCGGGUCAGGGAAUGAGUAGCUUUUUGUUCUCUGCUUGACGAAGCUGUCAGGAAUACUCCCUGCCCCUCCCUCCCUCCUCCUUCCUCCUCGCCCUCCCACCUGGGGCGCUUGACAACAUAAGGAGAUUAUGCACACUUUGUAAAUUAUUUUAAGUUCAUCAAUACUGGAAACACUGUCUAGAUUAAGUUGUAACCAUCCUGAUGUAGGAACUAGCUCAUUAUCUCUUAAUCUCUCAGAGUUAAAAAUAAAAGAUUAGGAGGGGCGCCUGGGUGCCUCAGUCGGCUGAGCAUCUGAUUGUUGACUUCAGCUCAGGUCAUGACCUCACCGUUCAUGGGAUCAAGCCCUGUGUCCGGCUCUGCACUGAAAGCGUGGAGCCUGCCUGGGAUUCUCUCUCUGCUCCUCCCCCACGCACUGCCUUUUUCUCUCUCUCUCAAAAUGAAUUACAAAUAAAUAAAUAUAAAUAAAUAAAUACAU